GGCGUUACAGCCCAGUGGUAGAGCACUUGCCUAGCAUCCAUGAGACCCUGGGUUUGAUCCCCAGUAAUGCAA
rnacentral:tRNA from 1 species